GGGGAUGUAGCUCAAUGGUAGAGCACUUGCCUAGCAUGCUGGAGGCUCCAAGUUCCUCCCCA
rnacentral:tRNA from 1 species